rnacentral:rRNA from 1 species
AACGUAGGAGACAACCGUUAUCCGGAGUUACUGGGCGUAAAGGGCGUGUAGGUGGUAGUGUAAGUCUGGCGUGAAAUUUUUCGGCUUAACCGGGAAAGGUCGUCGGAUACUGCACAACUAGAGGACGGUAGAGGCGUGUGGAAUUCCGGGUGUAGUGGUGAAAUGCGUAGAGAUCCGGAGGAACACCAAUGGCGAAGGCGACACGCUGGGCCGUACCUGACACUGAUGCGCGACAGCAUGGGGAGCAAACAGG